GGAGAGAAGGUGAUGGGGCUGGAACAUCGAUCACUCCUGUCACCCUCCUGAUUGCUGGGUUAUUUCGGUGGAUCUGACUUAUUAGGCUGGUGUCCCUUUCCACCUUCACUCUUC
rnacentral:sRNA from 1 species